ACACGUUAUACCGACUCUUUUCGAAAUCAUUGCGCUGGAAAGAAGUCGUGAGUAAUGGGGCACUCAGGAAACUGUACGAGAAUAAGAAGAAAAAAAAAAAAAAAACAACGAAAAGUAACGUCGGUGUAACGCAGAGUCGAUUUCUGCGGGGUUAAUUGGAGACGUCGUCGUCCGUAAGACUUCGAAGCUUGUGUUACCGGGAUAUAUACUCAGAUUCAUACUCGUCAGACGUUGAAGGUGCCUAGCUCUUCGCAAUACUGUUCAACUUUCAACUACCAUUCCUACGUUGUGCUGAGAAAUUCGUAUAAGGCUUUUAAUCAAUCAUCACGGUGCCUAGUGCAUCGCAGUACUCAUUCAACUCCCAACCACGAAGGGCAGUAGUCACAUGGCAUCGCACAAUUCGUUUUCAGGUAUGAAAUAAUUAUCAGUACGAUAUAAGUUAGAGUAUAUUACAAAAAUAUAUUCAAUGUAAUAUAUUAUAACAUCACAUUGGCAAUAAUAUAUUAACAGAUAAUAUAAUAUAACAUUCAACUAACAUAUUGACAUAGAAUAUAAUAUUGCUGAUAACAUAUUCUUAUAUUACGUCAUUAAUAAUGCACUUUUCGUAUAUUCCAGGUACUCGGAGAUGCUGUCACCGCAGUUAUGACCCCC
rnacentral:misc_RNA from 1 species